AGAACAUGGACUAGUUCUCGAUGGAUGCAAAACCAGGAGGAAAAAACAAACAUCCUUCAUAUUGUUUGCAGCAGCUGGUUGGAAAGUGAUAGGCAGAAUGAAAAUAAGAAGCCUCCAUCCAUUUCAUCUGUUUUUUGAAUAACAAUCUGUUCAUUUCUCGGAAGACUUGGUGAUGCAAAACAGACAAUUGUAUAUGUAUAUUCAGCAUGAACGGAGAAUGGCUCCCAAGAUUACUUUGAAGGACGGGCCUGGUGCAGCGGUAGAGCCUCACCGUGAGGUCCCAGGUUCGAGUCGCGGUCUCCUCACAUUGCACUUCGUGAGGGUAAGACUUGCCACUAACAUCUUCCCCAGACCCCGCAAGUGCGGGAGCUCUUAGCA